rnacentral:rRNA from 1 species
CCGCUUGACUUAAGCAUAUCAAUAAGCGGAGGA